GGAAUAUUGGACAAUGGGCGCAAGCCUGAUCCAGCCAUGCCGCGUGUGUGAAGAAGGCCUUCGUGUUGUAAAGCACUUUUGUAAGGGAAGAAAAGCACUCGGUUAAUACCCGGGUGUCACGACGGUACCGUAAGAAUAAGCACCGGCUAACUUCGUGCCAGCAGCCGCGGUAAUACGUAGGCAGCAAGCGUUGUUCGGAAUUACUGGGCGUAAAGCGAGUGUAGGCGGUUUGCCGUGUCUGCUGUGAAAUCUCCCGGCUCAACUGGGAGGGUGCGGCGGAAACUGGCAGGCUAGAGUGCGGAAGAGGAAAGUGGAAUUCCUGGUGUAGCGGUGAAAUGCGUAGAUAUCAGGGGGAACACCUGUGGUGAAGACGGCUUUCUGGACCGCCACUGACGCUGAGACUCGAAAGCGUGGGGAGCAAAC
rnacentral:rRNA from 1 species